UUAGAGUUUUUUUUCUGGCUCAGAUUGAACGCUGGCGGCAUGCCUAACACAUGCAAGUCGAACGGUAGCACGGUCCUAGCUUGCUAGGAUGGGUGACGAGUGGCGGACGGGUGAGUAAUGCAUAGGAAUCUGCCGAAGAGAGGGGGGUAACUGAGGGAAACUUCAGCUAAUACCACAUAAUGUCUACGGACCAAACGCAGGGGACCUUCGGGCCUUGCGCUUUUUGAGGAGCCUAUGCCGGAUUAGCUAGUUGGUGGGGUAAAGGCCUACCAAGGCGAAGAUCCGUAGCUGGUCUGAGAGGAUGGCCAGCCACACUGGGACUGAGACACGGCCCAGACUCCUACGGGAGGCAGCAGUGGGGAAUAUUGGACAAUGGGGGCAACCCUGAUCCAGCAAUGCCGCGUGAGUGAAGAAGGCCUUCGGGUUGUAAAGCUCUUUUGUGGGGGAGGAAGCGCUUCUAUUAAUAAUGGAAGUGGUUGACGUUACCCCAAGAAUAAGCACCGGCUA
rnacentral:rRNA from 1 species